UUAUGGUGCUAUAUGAAACUUUC
rnacentral:snRNA from 1 species